GGACCAAGUUCCUUAGGUCGGGUUGGAGUCCCAGAGAAAGGACCUAGUUCCUUUAGGUCGGGUUGGAGUCCCAGAGAAAGGACCAAGUUCCUUUAGGUCGGGUUGGAGUCCCAGAGAAAGGACCAAGUUCCUUUAGGUCGGGUUGGAGUCCCAGAGAAAGGACCUAGUUCCUUUAGGUCGGGUUGGAGUCCCAGAGAAAGGACCAAGUUCCUUUAGGUCGGGUUGGAGUCCCGACGUGGGUUCCUUUGGUUCGUGGUUAGAGUUAUGUUGUUUUGAUUCCCGCUGUGGAAUCACAGAUAUUGGUUGUGUUGAAUCUGAGUGGAAAAAAAAGUGAGCCAUCAUCUGGUGUUGGCAUACCGAGCUCCGUGGGAGACGUUUCCAAGUUCUGUCUGGGUUAGAGUCCUAGAAUCUGGAUUGGAGUCCCAGAGAAAGGACCAAGUUCCUUUGGGUCGGGUUGGAGUCCCGACUUGGGUUCCAGAGAGACUGUUGAUCUGAUCUUAAAUACAUUGCACUUUCAAUUUUACUUACUUAAAAAGCCUUUUUAACUUUCAAUUUAAUUGUCUAUUUUUACCAGAAAGAUACAUGAUCUGAUACCAGAGAGAAAGGAUAAGGGUUACUAGAAUCCUGGUUGGAGUCCCAGAGAAAGUACCAAGUUCCUUUAGGUCGGGUUGGAUACCAGAGAGACUGUUGAUGUGAUCUUAAAUACAUUGCACUUUCUAUUUUACUCAUUUCUUUGCAUAUGUUUUCUUUUACUUAUCUAUUAUUUUAUUUUAUUGUAUGACAAUGUUUAUAUGUGAAGCAAUUUGAGUCUGCCUU
ensembl:lncRNA